rnacentral:rRNA from 1 species
GACGUAGGAUGCGAGCGUUAUUCGGAUUUAUUGGGCGUAAAGCGUGCGUAGGCGGCUGUUUAAGUCUGGUGUUAAAGCUAGGGGCUCAACCCCUGUGGUGCACUGGAAACUGGGCAGCUUGAGUGCGGUAGGGGAAGGUGGAAUUCCGAGUGUAGCGGUGAAAUGCGUAGAUAUUCGGAGAACACCGGUGGCGAAGGCGACCUUCUGGGCCGCAACUGACGCUGAGGCACGAAAGCCUGGGGAGCGAACGGG